rnacentral:rRNA from 1 species
UGGGGGAUAUUGCACAAUGGGCGAAAGCCUGAUGCAGCGACGCCGCGUGGGGGAUGAAGGCCUUCGGGUUGUAAACUUCUUUUGCUCUGAACAAGGCAUGCCUUUGGGGUGUGUUGAGUGUAGGUGUUGAUUAGCGCCGGCUAACUACGUGCCAGCAGCCGCGGUAAUACGUAGGGCGCGAGCGUUGUCCGGAAUUAUUGGGCGUAAAGGGCUUGUAGGUGGCUGGUUGCGUCUGUCGUGAAAGCUCAUGGCUUAACUGUGGGUUUGCGGUGGGUACGGGCUGGCUUGAGUGCAGUAGGGGAGGCUGGAAUUCCUGGUGUAGCGGUGGAAUGCGCAGAUAUCAGGAGGAAUACCGGUUGCGAAGGCGGGUCUCUGGGCUGUUACUGACGCUGAGGAGCGAAAGCGUGGGGAGCGAACAGG